rnacentral:rRNA from 1 species
UACGAAAGGUGCAAACGUUGCUCGGAAUCAUUGGGCGUAAAGCGCACGUAGGCGGCUUGCCAAGUCGGACGUGAAAUCCCUCAGCUCAACUGAGGACGUGCAUCCGAAACUGGCGAGCUUGAGUACUGAAGAGGAUCGCGGAAUUCCCGGUGUAGAGGUGAAAUUCGUAGAUAUCGGGAGGAACACCAGUGGCGAAGGCGGCGAUCUGGGCAGAUACUGACGCUGAGGUGCGAAAGCGUGGGGAGCAAACAGG